rnacentral:lncRNA from 1 species
ACACCAACAUACUUAAACAAAAACAUCCACAAUAAUCCAAACAACAACAUUUAUCAACAAAAACAAAAACUUACAAUAAGAAAACAACACACCUCAAUAAAAACUUCAACAUACCUCAACAAAAACAUCUACAAUAAUAAAAACAAUAACUUACCUUAAUAAAACAGUAACAUACCUCAACAAAAACAUCAAUACAACUUAUCAAAAC